rnacentral:rRNA from 1 species
AGAGUUUGAUCCUGGCUCAGAACGAACGCUGGCGGCGCGCCUAAUACAUGCAAGUCGAGCGAGAAGACGUAGCAAUACGUUUGUAAAGCGGCGAACGGGUGAGGAAUACAUGUGUAACCUACCCUCGAGUGGGGAAUAACUAGCCGAAAGGUUAGCUAAUACCGCAUACGACUCUUGAUCUGCGGAUCGAGAGGGAAAGCGAUACCGUGGGUAUCGCGCUCUUGGAUGGGCUCAUGUCCUAUCAGCUUGUUGGUGAGGUAACGGCUCACCAAGGCUUCGACGGGUAGCUGGUCUGAGAGGACGAUCAGCCACACUGGCACUGCGACACGGGCCAGACUCCUACGGGAGGCAGCAGUAAGGAAUAUUGCGCAAUGGGCGACAGCCUGACGCAGAGACGCCGCGUGGGGGAUGAAGGUCUUCGGAUUGUAAACCCCUUUCGGCAGGGAAGAUGGAACGGGCAACCGUUCGGACGGUACCUGCAGAAGCAGCCACGGCUAACUUCGUGCCAGCAGCCGCGGUAAUACGAAGGUGGCAAGCGUUGUUCGGAUUUACUGGGCGUACAGGGAGCGUAGGCGGUCGGGUAAGCCCUCCGUGAAAUCUCCGGGCCUAACCCGGAAAGUGCGGAGGGGACUGCUCGGCUAGAGGAUGGGAGAGGAGCGCGGAAUUCCCGGUGUAGCGGUGAAAUGCGUAGAGAUCGGGA